UUACGAGCCGCGCCACAACGAGGCCAGGCCCCGCCCCCGGACCCGCCCCCAGUGACGCCAGAAUUCCCCGAGCGAGGUCCUAUAGGCCACCGGUGCGAGUCUCCUACACACAGCGGCACCUUCGGGUUCCAGCCUAACUGCCUGCGGCAGCCCGGCUCCGCACGACCUUUUAAAGGUAGCUUUUCUGAGCUCAAGGUGAGCGAUGAGGAAGCGCCCGCCCCUUCUGCUUUAUCAUUGGUCUUCGAUAACCAGCGAUAACCCUCACCACCGUCCAAUUGGCCAGUGAGUGCGAGAGCCGACAGUUAGCUGCGAUCGGUGCUGCCGAGAGGAAUGCUGGGACUUGUAGUCCUGGCGCCCAUAGGCUGCUCGCUGAGGCCCAAGCCUCCAGCUUCCAUAGCUACAAAGAGCCGGCCCCGCCUUCUGGGAGCCGGUCGACUCUGGUCAGCCGACGUCUUCACUGCUCAAGUAGCAAGACCGCAGGAGAUUCAGAGACAGAGGAAAACUACGGAUUGGAGUAUUCCAGAACCGGAGUUGGGUUAUUUCUUUGAGCCUCGUUCUGCGAGAAACUUUGGCUCACUCCUAGAAAUCGAGAAGAACGGUGCGUUACAUUCUCAUCACUUGGGAAAGCCCCAAAUAUGGGAACCUGGGAAGAAGUAUUGAGAAAGCAAGUAUCAAUGGUCCUUUGGGAUAGGAGGUUGAAGAAACAGCGUUUGUCCAGAGUAUGCCAGGCGAGAUCAUGCAUUCGUGUAUGUUUGUUCUAGUAUGAAUCCUUUCACAGGUUUCUCUGGCUAUCCUGGAACUCACUCUGUAGACCAGGCUGGCCUCCCCAGUGAUGGAAUCAAAGGCUCCUCGUGUGCAGAGAAACAGCUCCAUCUGAGAACACGGCCUGGACCUCUGCCUACUCAUGUGAUGAAGGAAGAACGGUAGCCUUAGCAACCUACGCUUGUGCCGCCUGCCUGCAGCCAGCUUCCCCUCACAUCACCAGCAGGUCACUCUGGCCAUCUUUGAUGAACUUUAUAGAGGACAUUACUAUGACCUCAGCUUCCCCCUGGGUGGCAAGAGCAUCUUGAUACAAUCUUUUCAUAGAUGCAUGUUCACAUCAUUAGAUGAUCUGAGGGCUGGUGAGGGGGCUCUGUGAGCAGACACCUGCCAUCAAGCCUGUCAAACUGAAUUCUAUCCCUCAGAUUGAGGUAAGAGAACCAACUCCUGCACGUUUUCCUCUGACCUCCACAUACAGCAGUUGAACACAAACAAAUAUGAUCAAAUAUUUUUUAAAAUAAAGAAAAUUUGGGUCUACAUUUUCUUAAUUUGGACACAGGCAGGUCCACAGUCAAGAAUGAUGGCCCAGGAAGCUGAGACAAGAAUGUAUGUAUUUGAGGCCAGCCUGGACUACCCUUUAUAAUAAGAAAGACUGUUGGAUCUUCACCACGAAUCACAAGUUACAAAACCCAAGGCAUGGUUCUGAGCUAAGGAAAAAUGAGUGCAGGGCAGCAGAGCCCUGAACCUGUUACCCCAGACUCAGUCCCUGCAAGGCUCUGUUCCUCUGGCCAGACAGAGCACAAGCGCGCUCACAGCCCUGUGGGAGAGAGAAUGAAAGGUGCAGGAUACACUGAUGAGGUCGCCUUCCUGCAAGAAGCCUCUCAUGGCCAGCUCAUCCUCUGCAGACCUUCUCCUCUGAAAAACACAGAAGCACAAGCACAUGUCACAGCCCCUCUCAGGAAAGGCUCUCCCCACCACUGCUCUCUGCUUGAAGCCAACCAUGGUACUACAACAUGAAGAAUUAUGACAAGAGGUAGACAGAACUGCUAGUGGGAGCGAGGGAGAUGACAGUGGCUCUCCUCAGUGGGACCCUGUGCAGUUGACUGAGCCUGUCUCCCAGCACACUUCACACUAGGCUCUGUCACUAGUCACAUAUCUCCCUUCACCUCAGAGUCACAACCUCACUCCAAGGCUGCCUUACAGCUGUUAUCUCCUAUCCUCCACCCAUCUAUAAAGUCCUUGAGGGACUCAGCUGGGCAUCCUUUAAUCUGGCACUCUUCAUAGGAUCCAGCUCAGGGAACCUCUCCAAAAUUUCAGACAGACUGAACCAUGGUACGGACAAAAAAGCCUGUCACUGUCUGCAAUAACCAAGUGCCACUCAAAUCACUGAAAAAUAAAGACAAGCAGAGCAUAGUGGCACACGACUUUGAUUUGGGAGGUUGAGGCAGGCAGACAUCUGUGAGUUCCAGGCCAGGGUUACACUGAGAAAGCCUGUCUCAACCCCCCCCCCCCACCCCACACUCCAAAAAAAAGAAGGCAAACCCUUCAAGAGACACCUUCACUGUGCAAGGCUGGGACACCAAAAAGGAAAUGAGCACUAAGAUACUAAGAUCCAGGAGCCUCUUCCCAGCUCCCUUCUGGGAGCCCACGACACGGGUGUUUCUGGUCUUACCACACACUAGCUGUGCUGAGAGCCCAGGGCUAGAAGAAAAGCCUCUGUGUUCACCAAAGUAGCAGACUCCAUGACAAGACAACAGCGACCUCAUGUAAAGCAGACUUCUCAGCUCAACGGGACAGUUCCAGAGCAGGAGAGCACUUACCAGCUCUCCUCCAGGCAGGUUCAUGGAGGAGAGGAGCAAGACGGAGUCCAGCCUGGAAUUGGUCUCCACCUUCCACCUCUUCUGCUGAACCUGCGAGGGAAAUAAAUGUGGGCUAGCACCUCACACCACCCCACAAAGGCCCCUGCUUCAUACUUUCACAGAACGAAGGCCCCAUCCCUGAGCCACCCACCAGUCCCCUUCACUUUGUGAACAUUGACUUUACCUCUGUGAUUCUCCCCACUACAAUGUCUCCGACUUCUCCAUUGUAUCUGCAAGAGAAAACAGAAGCUUUCCCAGUAGCUGGCAGGCUGGCCAGACCUGUGUCUGAGGCUGAACAAACAAGCACGUGGUUAUAAUUACUGUUUAGACCUGGGAAUUUCAGAAUCUCUCCAUGUAUUAUUUCAUUAGCUAUCCUUAAAGCAAUGGCUCAUGGCAAGUUGUUACAUCUCCA